UUUGGAAGUCAGUUUGUUAAUAUCUGUUAAAGUUUUAAUGUGCAUACCCUCCUGCCCAGCAAACUAGCUUCUACGGAGAAAUUUUUACCUGCUAUGUUUCUAUGUUGCUUAUAUUUUCACACCAAAUUUAUCAUUUAGGAUCCAAAACUACAGAAUUUUCUACAAGGCUUUUCUAAACCUUGUAACUUGAUUGCUCUAAAAAAUAAUCAAGUAUACUUGUGAGUUUUCCAAAAGUGACUGGCCACAAAACUUUUAAAGUUGGAACUGGGUGGCAACUUGGUCCAGGACUCAGAUAGGAAGGUGCCCAGGAACUCAGGCACAGAGUCAUGACAUAAACAUACAUAAACAUCAGCUGCUACCUGGGCACCAAGACAGUGGCAAUAACACCACCUCUCCCAACCCAGUUCUCAGCUUCACAUGCCUCUCCCCAAAGACCUCUGAACCCACCAGGCCAAAGAGCACAAGAUCUGAGAAAGCACAAGCACCUGCUGAAGAUCAAGCAGCCCAUAUAGGAAGAUUUAGGAAUUCCUUUCUGCACAGAUAUUUAAGAACAUUGGGAAUAUAUAUAGCUUGUGUGCCUUUUCAAGCAAGAUCAAAUGGGCAUGCCCUGGGCUGGUAAAACUUAAGGAUUAGAGAAGCACACAAUGAACAUAUUGCUUCAGGGUGCUGUCAGAAACACUGUAAGCACAAACACAGAUUAAAGUUUAAAAAAGAAAGAAACAAACAAACAAACAAAAAAGAAACACAGCAGGGUCCAAACAUAGCUUACUCAAAGAUACUUUCAGUCCAAGGUGGGAACUUGACUGAGGACAUAGAGGAACAGAAGGAUCCCUCUGCCCAGGACAACAUGGCCAGGCACAUCUGUUCUAGGUUGCUGUCAGGCCGAUGUCACUGGAAGUUAAAUUGUAACCCUGCAGAUCCCAGGCAAUAUGGAAGAAAGGCAGUCUUACUAAGGAAGGGUAGAGGAAAUAUUUAAAAAUAAGUGGAAAGAAGACACAAAAGAACACCAAGGAAACAAGAUUGGAAUUCAAAAGCUCCAUACCUCUCUCCAGGCCUGUUACAACCUCUGGUCAAGAGCCAGAUGAUCAAUAAUCCAAGAAAAGUUUUAAUGGGAAAAAGACCAAAUUAUAGUUUUCCACCAGUGUACUUUUGAUAUGAAAGUUCAUUUUUUAAAACCUUAUAAAUCCAUUCAAUCUUGCCAGCAAGACAACACACAAAAGCCUUUGGCUGCUUUCUAUAUCCAUUCAGGUACCAUCCAGUAUUUUUCUUUUUUUUUAUCCUAAAAUGACCAGUCAUUAGGACAAAUGACACAUACCUGUCAUCCCAGCUAGAAGGGUAGGACAAAAAUCACUCUUCUUCCUUUAACAAAGUAUAUGCCCUUCAUAUCUCACACCUUCCCGUAUCAAGAACGUACCUUGCUGGGCAUAGCGACACACACCUGUCACCCCAGCUACACAGGAGGCUGAGGCAGGAGGAUGCCAAGUUCAGAGAUAGCCUGGGCAGCUUACCAACACCCUGUCUCAAAAUAA
rnacentral:lncRNA from 1 species